rnacentral:rRNA from 1 species
AUGAACGCUGGCGGCGUGCCUAAUACAUGCAAGUCGAGCGAACGGACGAGAAGCUUGCUUUUCUGAUGUUAGCGGCGGACGGGUGAGUAACACGUGGAUAACCUACCUAUAAGACUGGGAUAACUUCGGGAAACCGGAGCUAAUACCGGAUAAUAUUUUGAACCGCAUGGUUCAAAAGUGAAAGACGGUCUUGCUGUCACUUAUAGAUGGAUCCGCGCUGCAUUAGCUAGUUGGUAAGGUAACGGCUUACCAAGGCAACGAUGCAUAGCCGACCUGAGAGGGGGGUCGGCCACGGGGGAACGGAGACGCGGUCCAGACUCCUGGGGGAGGAAGCAGUGGGGAAUCUGCGGCAAGGGGCGAAAGCCUGACGGAGCAACGCCGCGUGAGUGAUGAAGGUCUUCGGAUCGUAAAACUCUGUUAUUAGGGAAGAACAUAUGUGUAAGUAACUGUGCACAUCUUGACGGUACCUAAUCAGAAAGCCACGGCUAACUACGUG